AUUUUUUUUUUUUUGUUUGUAAUUCAAACUAGGACUCCUUUGAUCAUUGAUGGGCAAAAAUGUACAUAUUGAGUUUGGCAUACCAAACUUGAUACAUGAUCAUUGAGAUGAAGCUAGUGUAAUUUGUCCUAACCCAAAGUUUGAAAAAGUGAUCUGCUUCAUGGGGGUUCAUAUCUAAUGUGGGAUGGUUUAGUGAGUUUGAUUCUAAAUGAUGGAAGGUUCCACCUAUCCAUAUUUUCAAGUCCUUUAACAAAACUAGGGAGAGUAGGAAAAGAGUUGAAGGUAUGGUCUUCAUUAAAAUCAUGACUCAAAGCUGCAGGUUUGUUUGCUGGUCUAUUGGCUUCUGUGAAGCAAUGACUAAUUAGGAAAUCAUGCUCUUCAAAAGUUCUUUGGAUCUCCAUAAUUUGAUUGAGAAUUCUCCAGUGAGGUUUCCAUUCUCUUUUGAUGCACUUAGUAAGCAACAUGGAAUCUGCUUCUCCCCAGAUCCUUGUGAAACCAUUCCUGGAGCACCAUUGCAAUCCAUAGAGUAAAGCCACUACCUCGGCAAGGUUAUCAAAAGCCGGGCACUAUCUUGAUAUAGUAAGCAAAAAUGACCUUUCCUUGGUUGUUUCUGAUAAUUCCUCCUCCUCCACAAUUUCCAUUCAAGCAGCUUCCAUCUAAAUAGAGUUUAAUAUAAGGGGCCUCGGAUUUGUACCAGUUGACUCUAGUGAUAGUAUGAUGUUGUAUAGAUGCUUCACUAGCUUGGCAUAGACAGCUCCAGUUGUUUCCUAGCUUUGCAUUUCCAAAUUCCUUCUUUGUAACCUGCAAAACAGUAUUCAGGAUAUUAGUACUAGUUCUAUAGAAUGAAGGUUUUCCGGAAUCAAACUUGUUGCUACAUCUUGUACUCCACAAUUCCCAACAAAUUAUUUGUGGUAAUGUUUUCAAGAUAUAAUCAGCAAUAGGAUUUUUGUUUUGGAUAUUCCACCAGUUGAGCAAUAGCAUUUUUAGAUUCAUGUUCCUAAAUUCAAUGCCCAAUGGUGUUGCAAAGUAGUCCCACAUUUUUCUAGCAUGUUCCCCUGCACAAAAUAAAUGGUCGGUAUAUUUUCAAGCUCAUUAGUCAUAUUAGAAGGUUCACAACAAUAAAGUCAGUGUUAAGGGUGAUUCCGAGUCUAGCCACUUUUGCAUCAGUGGCUAGUCUAUUGUGGGUGGCUUUCCAAGUUAAAAAACUCAUUUUGAAAGGUAUAUCUUUGUGCCAGAAUUUACUCUCCAAAGAGUUGGGGUCUCUCGUUUGUCUGAAAAAAUACCCAAGCAGAACCAACAGAGAAUUUCCUAGAACAAGUAGAAGUCCAAACAGCUUGGUCAGGUUUAGAAUCUUCUAAGAUUAAGUUAAGACUGGUCAAAAUGAAUUUUGGUCUCAUUAGAAGGUUGGUGUUGAAGUAAGUUCCAGUCCCAAUUCCCUUUUGUGUAUAUAUCCUUUAGACUAAUCUUGUUCAGCACGACAUCUUCAGGCAUGAACUUUGUGUAUAUAUCCUUUAGACUAAUCUUGUUCAGCACGACAUCUUCAGGCAUGAACUGGUGAAUUGGACCAUUAUCAGACCAAGUGUCAAACCAAAAAUCAAUGUACCCUUUUCCAAUAAUCCAUUUGAUAUUGAAUUCAACUUCACUUCUAAUACCACAAAAAGCUUUCCAAGAAUAAGAACCCCCUUUUGACCAUUGCACAUUAACAGGAUGUUUCCCAUUCAGAUAUAUUAGCCGAUGUGAUGAUUAAUUAUUGUUUUAAUAUAAAAGGAAUUUUGAUUGUUUGUGUGUUUCUUCAUAACAUAUCUGUUUCUUAGGAGAAGUUUGAAAUUGAUUUGGACGAGCAUUACGUGAAAGAUAGUUGUGAGGAUAUUUUGAAAAAUAGAAGCCGACAAGGGCGAUACAAGUUAAAACAGUUAUUUGAAAGUGCACGUUUCGAGGAAGAAGCUCGUAAAAUUGAAGUGCCAGAGUUGACCCGAGAAAAUUGGAAUAAGCUUUGUGACAUGUGGGCUGAUCCAGAGCAUAAGGUAAUUUAUAUUCAUGUUAUUAUCCUUGUUGAUUAAGUUACAUAUAUUUAUAUGUUCUUUGUAGAAACGAUGCGACAUAAACAAAAUAAUCGAAGUAAGCUUAAAAUUAAUUAUUUCAUGGGGUCAAAAGCGUUUGUACCGGCUCGUGCUGAACUUGCCAAAAAUGGAGUAGAGCUUGAUAGAAUCAAGUUCUACAAGAGUACUCAUUACUCGACUGAAAAAGGAUGAUCAUCUCUAGAGGCUGAGACAAACUAUAACACCAUGAAAGAUUUGAAAGAUAUAUAUACUUCGGGAGAGCCUUGCAUGACUAUUGAUCAAAUUAUGGAUACUGUACUUGGUACAAAAUCGGGGUACAUAAAAGGUCUCGGUUAUGGUCCGAAACCUGAUACUACCAAAGCCACACAAAGAAGAACAGCAGAGUUAGAAGACUCCCUUAGAAAGACGAAAGAGGAAGCUGCUAGUGCCCAACAUGAUUUACAGAAAUGAUUAAAUGCAGCUGAAGUUGUGGUAGAAACCCAGCAGUCCAAGAUAGAAAACCAGCAGUCCUAGAUAGAAACUCAACAGGCCCAGAUACAAGCAUUAAAUUCUCAAUUGGUUACUUUAGCAGCACGCCAAGAGGAAAUGUUUAAAAAAAUGCAACAUUUUGCUAGCUCAUCGCCAUCAAGUAUUAAAUGUGGGAAUUGAAUCAAGACUGAUUGCAAGCUAAGUGCCACCACAUUAUUAGUAUUUUGGAAGAAACCUGCACUAUCUGUCUUAGUUUAGGAGUAAUAUUUCGUAUAUUUCAGUUGGAUUGGUACUUUGGAAGAAACUGCAUUGUCUGUCUUAGUUUAGGAGUAAUAUUUAGUAUAUUUCAGUUGGAUUUUCUUGUUAGUAGACAUAUUUUACUUUUAUUUAGGAGUUUGUAAUGAGAUAUGAUCUCAGUACAAUUUUAGUUGUUAAUUGUAUGAUCAUGGGUGAAUUGUAUCA